UUAUUUAGUCUUUUUACUAAAAUACCUUGAAAUGUUGGUCAUUGGUCAGGGAAAUGCUAGGAAUGAAGUGUUGUUCACCAGUUAACAUUACAAGGCAGUGUUGUUGUUUUUUAGYAAAAAAAUGUUAGAUUUCUCCUUACAUGAGCUAUUUUUUAAAUUAUUUAAUGUAAAAUAAUAAGUAUUUUAGAUUUUAUGCAAACAUAUUGGUGGUGGCUAAGAAUUACCCAAUGCAUUUUAAAAAGAACAAAAAAAACAUAGCUACAGUUUAUGGAUUCCUUAAUUAAUAUGGUGUAUUCUUAUUAUUCUUUCAGGAAGGACAAGAAAGGGAAGAAAUUGUCAUAAAAAAUUAAACAACUUGACAACCUUGGUUAGUUAAUCUCUUCAACAGAUGAUGUCAAGGAGCUCAUCAGGAUCUGAAACCUCUUGAAAUACUUUAACAAAUACUGUUCUUUUUAAUUCCAUUGUUUAAUCGAUAAGAUUUAGCAGAAAAUAGUAUGCUAAAAAUGUCCAGAAUGUAUUGGCAUAAAACAUUGUAGUGAAAACCAAAAUGCACUGAACUAUAUUUGACAGUUUAGUUUUUUUCACAUUCUAAAAAUGUCUAUAGUAUAUGUAGUAGUAUAAGUAAAUAGACAUUUUAUUCAAUGUACUUGUUAAUGUCAACUUAGUAAUUAUCAAAAUUAAAAAAAAUGUAUUAUUAAUACUGGUGUUUAAUGAC